GUCCACCAAUCUAGAAAUAACUCUAAGCCGGCUUUUUCUAGGUUGUGAUGGAAACGUAUCACCAGCUACGUGCUAUCCAAUGUGGUCAAGCUGCAUUUCUAUUGGCUGGUUAACGAUGUUUAUACCAGCCCUAGUUGGCAACUUGCUUCAAUUAUGAAGACGCAACUGUGGAGAAAGAAUUCAAAACAGUGUAGUUGAAGUUUCCAUCCAUUUCGAAAUUAAACUCUUUUCUACCUGCGGAAUCAGAUCCAAAACAGGCAAGAACUUUGUCCAAUCUAACAUGAUCAUCAUCACAGUUCAGGAUUCUGUGCUGCAGUGCCUGUUAUGGCCGAGUGAUGACUACUGCUAAUUAAAUCGACAGAAUUAUAAUGGGUUUAGUUUAACCUUAAAAUUAAUAUUCGAAGCUUCUUCUGUUCUUGGAGGACUUUCACGCCAGAGAGAGAAUAUCAACUGCAUAUUCGAUAAGAUAUUCCUUUUCUUCAUUGCCACAAGAAAAGACCUUUCACUGGUGGGUGCGUGGGCGAUCCUAGAUCACCAUGUCCAUGUUUUGUAGCUGGCUGGGCGAAGGACAUGCUUAUCCCCUAACUAUUAUCUUAAUCCAAACGAUGAUAUAUCUCGAUGAAC